rnacentral:RNase_P_RNA from 1 species
UGGGUCGGCAAGACGGUCACGUCAUCCCACGAUCUCCGGAUCAUGGGAUGCCGAGGAACGUCCGGGCUCCACAGAGCGAAGGCGGUGGGUAACGCCCACCCGGGGCAACCCGAGAGCAAGUGCAACAGAAAGCAAACCGCCACGAGCCGUAUGGCUCGGGGUAAGGGUGAAACGGUGGUGUAAGAGACCACCAGAGACCUGAGUGAUCAGGCCUGCUAGGUAAACCUCGCCUGGAGCAAGGUCAAGCAGAGGACGCUGAGGCUGCUCGCCGAGUCCUCGGGUAGACCGCUAGAGAUGUGCGGCAACGUACAUCCGAGAUAGAUGACCGUCCCGUGUGCCCCUGGCACCUGACAGAACCCGGCGUAUGCGCCGGCCCAUUCC